CACAAAGUUCCUCACAUCGCUACCAUGGCCCUGGUUGUCGACUCCCUCGAGGCUAUACUGUUCUUGGAUCGGAUCUAGCUGGAUGUGAGAAAAUGUCGGUAUUGGUGUGGAGUUGUCGCCAAGCUCUAAUCUUUAUGGGUUUUAAUCUUUUGGCAUUGGUUGCAGUGAAGGACAAGUGAAUGAUCCUGCCUUCCCUAAAGGGGUCGUAAGGAAACAGAAGGGGAAAGAACUACUAUAAACUAUCCCAUCCUACACGGUGAACUGAUCUGCGGCGCUAUUUCUCUAAUUGACUGUCCUCGACCUUGGAACAUGAUAGCAACAUUUAACGUUUAACACAAAACAAUGACAGAGUCGACUCUUUCCAACUUCGACUCAGUCGAAGUUGGGGAGUCAAGGGUGUCAUUUUAUUUAGUAAUCAUAAAAUCCACGAUUCUUCACCCGCCAUCAUCCCUUCGACCUCUUGAUACAUCUCAACCGCCGUUCGUCAGUCAAAGACACCGAGGAAUCAUCCAGAAGCUUCUGAGACUCCUGUUCUUAAGAGACUCAGGACUUCGGAUUUCGGUUGUAUUGGCGACUGCCUGAAGAAAAAGGAUCUUUUUACGUCCCCCGACUGUUGCUCCUGUAUCUCGAUCGCAAAGCUUCCAGUCUGCUUGGACCAGCAGAUGUCGUCGAGCAAGAAACAUAAUCUUUCUGCUGUUCGCCUACCGGUCAGACGAGGUCUUCAAAAAGGUCUAUGGGAAGAGGAAAAUCUUGUUGGAGCCUGGUGUGUUGCAAUUUAUAUUUGAAAUUGGGCGCCAAUAUUGUUACGUCCCAAAAUAGGACUACGUGUUUCCGCGAGUGCGCAGCGCCGGCAAGCUCUAGAGCACUUGGGGUGUGGGUACUCCAACCCUGCCCACACACACGCAACAAUAAACAAACAGAUGUCGCAGGACACCAUCGUAUAUAUUGUGGGCUUUUGGGAUUAAACCCAAAGCCUCUGCGCUCCCACCCAACCGUAGCAGCCGUAGAUGUCUCCGACUGCCCCUUGGACCGGUCACCGUAGGAUACCUUGGAACCGUCUACAUGUUCCCUCCCCUCUGAAAGAUAGAACUUCUUCAGCUUCCCGUAAGGAAACCCAUCAACCACCGCCCGCCGGGUGCAACAGUCCCACACAGGUUUUGUGUAGACGGAUAGAAUGUCUGUUUUCUUCCUUUCGGUCCCUACCUAAAAGAGCUCUCUUAAUUGGAUCCUAUUCGACGCGGUCGCUGGAGAGGAUUCUUUGUGGGAUUAACAAGUGCUCCGCGAUACAAUUGCGGUUAUGUUUGUUUUUUUUUGUGUUUCUUGGUUCUUUGGCUUUGACGAUUUAAAUAUUAGGCCUCACCCAGAAGGAGCGAUAAGAGAUAAAUAACAAUUAGAUACAAAUAUGAAAACACUCGCCGUGAAUUGUUCACAUCCGGCAAAAAAUAAAUUGGCUUAAAUUUUUGAUAUAAAUAAAUAAAUAAUCGUGCAAUAGAUA